CGGGGGUUGGGCGUGAGGAGGUAUAGGCGGCAUCUGCUGAGGGUUUAGGGUUUCAGGUACCUGUGGUCAAUCGUGGUUCAGAAACAUGAUCCUCCUUCCAAUAUAUCUUCAAAAGGUCAGUAGUAGCCUAGCCCUAUGUCAAUGCCUACAUCAUUCACCUCAUCACGUGGAUAUUUUAUCAUCAAACAUCAUCACAAGAAGAAGGGGAAGGACUUUGAAGCUCAAGUUGCACCUGGUUGAAAUACUUUCAUUAGAUAUAAGGUGUAAGCUUUGCCCUUUUACCAGCAGCACAAAGAAAAACCUCAAGAACCACAUUUUAAUUUUCUUCUAAAGAAAAGGUGGUAUUACUGUUUUAAACUAGAAAUGAAUUUUGACUCAGAUGA